UCAUAACUCAUAUCCAUGAAACCUCACAAUCAUUUAGCUGAUAACUUGAAGCGGAAGAUAAUGUUGAACACUAAUCCGUACCUGCUGUCUGCUGAGUGCAUGGAUCUAAACUAUGAAGCCUCGACAUAUCUGUUUUUGAUGUUUAUUAUGAUACAUUACGGAUGCUUCUUGCUUGCUGAUGUUGAACAAUGUUCUCUUUUGCUUUAUCCAUGGUAUCUGUUAGUAUCAGACUUGUAGUUCUACUUUUGUACACAAAUUCUGUUUUGCUUGCUCUAUGAAUUAACGCCAUGGUUUCUGUCAAAUUUGUUAUUUUUUA